CUAUCACUUUUGUUUGUGAUUUACUUUCUGGUCGUCCGUAGGCAUUGACGUUGACUGUAUGCCUGACGUAAUUGUGACGCGAUUUGACACGGUCAAUGGGAGGCAUACGGAGUUCUCGCCUCCUGGUGUAGAUCGGUUGCCUGCUGUAUUCCGCCGCGUGCAGCCGCAGUUGUCUUUCGCAUAGCCGUUAAGCAAGCCCAACCGCUUUGUUGCCUUAGCUGCGAGAUUCUGUCUUGCCGGGUGCUCCGCUUACCGUCUGUUAAAGCCAUGGCCACAGAAGACAGCCAAGUCGCAGGAUGUUCUGCGGAUGUCGAAAUCACCGGCAAUAAUGAACAGCAAACGGAGCGACAAGCCCAACUGGUGGAAGAAUCAAAGUUCAUGUCUAAGUACCCGGGGAGAACAGUGCCCGGAGGAGCUCUGGUUUUCCAGAAACGACAGAAGAAAGGGCAAGUUUAUUUCGACUCGGGAGACUACUACAUGGCCAAGGAAAGAGGCCAGAAAGUGGUUCUGCGGGGGCUCCCCACCAUUCCCCAAAACCUCACGGGAAUGGUCAUCACCAAAACAGAGUCACUGCUACCGCGCAAGCCUUCGCCGGUGCAAAGCAAGCUGGCCUCGGAGCCUUUUCCUAGAAGGUUCAAAGUGGGGGCUGCCCACUCUAUACGGGGCUCUACGUGACAUGUCAUGAAACUCUCUUGCUGUUGCUGCCCCCAGAGGUUGGACACAACACUUGGGGGCACUCGGAUGAUAUUUUUUGCUCGCAGCUGGAAGCAACAGGGGCCAUUGAACCUAAACUGGUCAGAUGCUUAUGAGGACAACCGGUCCACUUUUUGCUUGCCUUGGUGAGACUGGACAAACCAUUAAGACCAAGCCAUUGAUCUGGUGUUUCAAGUUCAAAACAAAAGUGUCCGAAAGGAGCACUCUCCAUGCAGUGGCACAGACUCACUUCUGGACAAAGAAGACAAGGAAGAUGCAGUUCCUGUUGUGAACCCAUAGUUUGCCUGGUGCCCCUAGUUCCUUUUUUCAGUCAGUUUUACAUAGACUGUUUUGGCACCUUCUUAAAUGCCAUUUUUCCCAUUGAAUAGUUGUUGGACUUGCAGUUUGUAGGCCUGAACCUGCCCUUUAUUUUUAAUUAAAAUAAAAAUGAGCUUGGUGAGAGCUCAGUGACAUUUUACCUAUCAGUAUCGCUGGCUGUUUUACACUGUGUUGCCGAUCUACAAUUGGGUUCCACUUACCAGUACAUUAAAGCUAUACUGACUGCAUACACUACAAAAAAAUAUUGCAGGUAAUUAUCUAAAAUAUUUCAGCACGAGAAAAAAAGCCAUAGUGAGCACGGAUAGUCGCCAAGUCUAAUCCCCGAGUGUUGUUUUUAUAAUUUUAACUUUUCUGGAGUAAUAUUAGUGGUAAGUAUAAGCAAGCAAAUAUCAUUUCUAUGGAGCAUUUAUCACCUAUGCAUCACAAUUGCAUACCUUAUAAUGUGAUCUUCCACAGAGCAUAUUUUCCUGUGAUCCAUGCCAUUGGUGCAGUAAAUAAACAAUAUCCAGAUUAUUUUUUUUUCCAUAUCAACGCCCAUUUGCCAUCUCUUCUUGAAUCAACAACAGUGAACACACUGCAGAACGAACCACUGUUUUGAUAAGCUGAUGAAGAAACAAUGCUGGGAAUUA
rnacentral:misc_RNA from 1 species